rnacentral:tRNA from 1 species
CAUCAGAUGACUGAAAGCAAGUAAUGGUCUCUUAAACCAGUGUAUGAUACCUUAGCAUGUAUCUCUGAUGA